UCCAGCAACCUAUAUGCACACUCCAACAUGUACAAAGUCAGAAACAUUCAUGUAUUCAACAGAGUGCAGAGUAUGGUAAGUUUUGGCAUUUCAUGCAAUACCAGCUAAAGGAGCAAAAGUGCUUCAUGAUAACCAGUGAUAUAUCAAGAAUCUAGUUAGUUUUGCAAUUCACUAAUGAUGCUAAAUAUUUAAAUGCAAUGUAACUCAGGUGAUAGAUUAUUGCAUUCCAAAUGAUUAUUCCUAAAAGGAAGAUAAGACAUCUACCAAGUGAGCAUAUGUCUAAUACAAGGUAUUGGCUGGUAGACUAUCUGCAGUAACACUUUUUGUUCCGGUAGAUACAAAUAAGAAUCAAAAUACAUGCAAAUAUGUGUGUGUGUGUGAUUUUAGCAUAUUUCCAGUUUGAUUUCCUUUUCUUCUCUUUUCUUGUUCAUUUUCUUUAUUUCAUUUGGAAGGCGGUGAUAAGAAGCUUUAAGUGACAGCAUCAUCAAAUUAGUAAUCCAUACCAUGCAAAAAGAAUAGUUUUCAAGACUACUAGAAGCAGUAACAGGAAGAACGGCAGGGACAACAAUACCGUGAAGACAAAAAGCUCCCCAAUAAGAUCUACAGCAGCCUGAACAGCUUUCUC
rnacentral:lncRNA from 1 species